UGCUGGGACCUAGAAUGGGCUCUGGUCAGGCUUGUAUAAGUACAGACCUCACACCAGGUUUCAUGCGCCCACAUCCCCACCCCCACCCCAUGAAGAUCGAAGCUCCCAGCAUACCACAGUUCCAUUUUUCCUUUUAGGCAUCAAACUGUCACUUCACUAAACACCA